GGCCCCAUCGUCUAGCGGUCAAGGACUUCCGGCUUUCGAUCGGAAAACAGGGGUUCGAUUCCCCUUGGGGCUA
rnacentral:tRNA from 1 species